rnacentral:rRNA from 1 species
CCCUUAGAUGUUCUGGGCCGCACGCGCGCUACACUGAUGCAUUCAACGAGUCUAAAACCUGGUCUGAUAGGGCUGGGUAAUCUUUUGAAAGUGCAUCGUGAUUGGGAUAGAUGAUUGCAAUUCUUCAUCUUCAACGAGGAAUGCCUAGUAAACGCAAGUCAUCAGCUUGCAUUGAUUACGUCCCUGCCCUUUGUACACACCGCCCGUCGCUCCUACCGAUUGAAUGAUCCGAUGAAUAUCAUGGAUUGAGGAUUAUAGCAGGUUCGCCUGUCUUGAUCUUCGAGAAGUGAAGUAAAUCUUAUCAUUUAGAGGAAGGAGAAGUCGUAACA